rnacentral:rRNA from 1 species
UACGAAGGGGGCUAGCGUUGCUCGGAAUCACUGGGCGUAAAGCGCACGUAGGCGGAUUGCUAAGUCAGGGGUGAAAUCCUGGAGCUCAACUCCAGAACUGCCUUUGAUACUGGCGACCUUGAGUCCGGGAGAGGUGAGUGGAACUGCGAGUGUAGAGGUGAAAUUCGUAGAUAUUCGCAAGAACACCAGUGGCGAAGGCGGCUCCCUGGCCCGGUACUGACGCUGAGGUGCGAAAGCGUGGGGAGCAAACAGG